CACAGCUCCAGACUACAGGGACCACAUCACCAGCUGAUACAAGGUGAGGUCACGCCUUGGCAUCUGCAGAGCACCUUGAGACCUUCACAGGAGCCUGACCUUCCAGCUAGAGUUCAGUAACCCCCUGGAGAAAGCCCUUCCACCCCAGGCUGCAGCCAUUGGCAAAACCUGAUCAACUUCACGUAGUAAGACCCAGGACAGAGAACCAGACAACCUAUCCUGUUCCUG
rnacentral:lncRNA from 1 species